CCGCGUGGAGGACGAAGGCCUUCGGGUUGUAAACUCCUGUCGAGGGGAAGAAGGGCGGUUAAACGCCUUGACUGAUCCCUGGAGGAAGCACGGGCUAAGUUCGUGC
rnacentral:rRNA from 1 species